rnacentral:rRNA from 1 species
UACGAGGGGGGCAAGUGUUGUUCGGAAUCACUGGGUUUAAAGGGUGCGUAGGCGGGUAAGUAAGUCCGUGGUGAAAUCUCUGAGCUUAACUCAGAAACUGCCGUGGAUACUAUUUGCCUUGAAUAUUGUGGAGGUGAGCGGAAUAUGUCAUGUAGCGGUGAAAUGCUUAGAUAUGACAUAGAACACCAAUUGCGAAGGCAGCUCACUACACAAUCAUUGACGCUGAGGCACGAAAGCGUGGGGAUCAAACAGG